ensembl:misc_RNA Metazoa_SRP Metazoan signal recognition particle RNA
GCCAGUCGUAGUGGUGCAUGCCUAUAAUCCCGGGUGGUUGGGAGGCUUAGGCGGGAGGAUCACUUGAGGCCAGCAGUUCUGGGCUGAAGUGCACUUUGCACAUCAGGUGUCGACACUAAGUCUGGCAUCAAUAUGAUAAUCUCCCAUGAGCGGGGGACCACAAGGUUACCUAAGGAGAAGUGAACUAGCUCCUCCACAGAGCAUGGUCCAUAUAAGUCCCGUGCUGAUCCAUGGUGGGAUGGCGCCUGUGAAUAGCCAGUUAUGGCACUCCCGCCAGAACAAUAUAGCAAGACCCUGUCUCA